GAUGAACGCUGGCGGCGUGCUUAACACAUGCAAGUCGAACGAAGCACUUUGAAAGCUUGCUUUCGAAGUGACUGAGUGGCGGACGGGUGAGUAACGCGUGGAUAACCUGCCUCACACAGGGGGAUAACAGUUAGAAAUGACUGCCAAUACCGCAUAAGCGCACAGUACUGCAUGAUACAGUGUGAAAAACUCCGGUGGUAUAAGAUGGACCCGCGUCUGAUUAGCUAGUUGGUAAGGUAACGGCUUACCAAGGCGACGAUCAGUAGCCGGCCUGAGAGGGUGAACGGCCACAUUGGGACUGAGACACGGCCCAAACUCCUACGGGAGGCAGCAGUGGGGAAUAUUGCACAAUGGGGGAAACCCUGAUGCAGCGACGCCGCGUGAGCGAUGAAGUAUUUCGGUAUGUAAAGCUCUAUCAGCAGGGAAGAAAAUGACGGUACCUGACUAAGAAGCCCCGGCUAACUCCGUGCCAGCCGCCGCAGUAAAAC
rnacentral:rRNA from 1 species